CGAGCUCGGCCGGAAGAUGGGUGUGAUAUUACUGUGGUUUCUUAUGUUGGUGUUUUGUAUUUUUUUUAGGGUUAACAUUUUAUUUUAUCUUUAAUUUGUAACUUUAGUUAGGCUGGGCUCUAAGCCCCUUUAUUAUUUACACUCCCAAUACUUUACUUUACUUUCUCUAUUUUAUUUUAUUUUUUAUAGAUACAAUUUUAGUUUUUU
rnacentral:lncRNA from 1 species